UCCCCAGAGGACUAGUGAUUAGGCCACGGUGCUCUCUCUGCUGUGGCCCGGGUUCGAGUCCCAGCCAGGGAA